rnacentral:sRNA from 1 species
UAGAGACGGGGUUUCACUGUGUUAGCCAGGAUGGUGUUGAUCUCCUGACUUCGUGAUCCACCCGCCUCGGCCUCCCAAAGUACUGGGGAUUGCAGGCGUGAGCCACCGUGCUCAGCCUCUUUUUUUUUUUUUGAGACGGAGUCUCACUCUGUCGCCCAGGCUGGAGUGCAAUGGUGUGAUCUCGGCUCACUGCAACCUCCACCUCCCGGGUUCAAGCAAUUUUGCCUCAGCCUCCUGAGUAGCUGGGAUUACAGGCGGGUGCCACCACACCCAGCUUAUUUAUGUAUUUUUAGUAAAGACGGAGUUUUACCAUGAUGGCCAGGCUGGUCUCGAACUCCUGACCUCAGGUGAUCCGCCUGCCUCAGCCUCCCAAAGUGCUGGGAUUACAGACGUGAGCCACUGCGCCAGGCCAACAUCUUUCACAGCAAGACCUAGUUCCAAGUCUCCCUUUGUUUCAGACAGACAUUUUCCUUAACUCUAAUGUUCCUUUUACCUUUUCAUCCCACCUUCUGUUCCCUCAUUUUCUCCCUCCUUCCACACCCAAGAGUCGCUGCCCCUGAUCUAGAGUGUUGGGUGUCAUGUGAGAAGUUAGUUCUGAAAUCGUCCAGGGUCCUGUGCGAUGGUGCCUGAUGGUGCCUCCACUACGCCACCUGCUGUCACAAGGUGUCUUGUCACUGAAGACCUCUUAGCCCUUCACCCUUUCAUCUCAGGUGAACUUCAGUGAUGACAGUGACUUGGAAGACCCUGUCUCAGCUGAGGCCUGGCUGGCAGAGGAGGCUAAGAGACGGGGCACUGCUUCCCGGGGCCGGGGGCGAGCAAGGAAGGGUAUGAGCCUAAAGACGGAUGCCGUGGUUGCCCCAGGUAGUGCCCCUGGGAACCCUGGCCUGAGUGGCAGGAGCUGGAGGGCCAAGAAGGUGGCAUCAAGACAUUGUGAGGAGCAGCGUCCCCGGAGGGCCAAUGACCAGGCCAGGCCUGGCCCUGAGAUCAUGAGGACCAUCCCUGAGGAGGAACUGACUGACAACUGGAGAGAAAUGAGCUUUGAGAUCCUCAGGGGCUCUGAUGGGGAAGACUCAGCCUCAGGUGGGAAGGCUCCAGCGCCGGGCCCUGAGGCAGCUUCUGGAGAAUGGGAGCUGCUGAGGCUGGAUUCCAGCAAGAAGGAACUGCCCAGCCCAUGCCCAGACAAGGACAGUGACAAGGACCUUGGUCCUCGGCUCCAGCUCCCCUCAGCCCCCGUAGCCACUGGUGAAUAUGCGACCCCUGACGUUGGUCACUUGGAGAGGGCUGAGUCUCUAGGGCUUUUGACCCCUCUGUCUUUCCAGGCUGGAUUCUGAUCUGGAUCCAGUAGCCUCUGAACUUGUGUUUGAACCCCAGCACUCUGUCUAUGAGCUGUGUGCAGGUCACUUAACCUCUCCAAGCUUCUAUUCCUUCUGUAAAAAUGGGGUUUAGGGGCCAUGGUGGAAUAAGUUGAUGCCUGUUAGUUGCAUGGCACCCCACUUGGCACAUUGCCCUUCAUAAAUGGUAGUUGCUGUUUGCCAUGUGGGAGAUGAGACAGGGACUCUUCCUUCUUGGAAAGUUCCUAUCAACUAUGAAAUAAGGAAUUCAGCUGUACCAAGUGUCCUGACAUUCCUCUAGGUCUUUCUACCCUGGACUCCAUCUGUGACUCCCUGAGUGUUGCUUUCCGGGGCAUUAGUCACUGUCCUCCUAGUGGGCUCUAUGCCCACCUCUGCCGCUUCCUGGCCUUGUGCCUGGGCCACCGGGAUCCUUAUGCCACUGCUUUCCUUGUCACCGAGUCUGUCUCCAUCACGUGUCGCCACCAGCUGCUCACCCACCUCCACAGACAGCUCAGCAAGACCCAGAAGCACCGAGGAUCACUUGAAAUAGCAGACCAGCUGCAGAGGCUGAGCCUUCAGGAGACGCCUAGAGAUGUCCCCCUGGCCCGCAUCCAGCGCCUCUUUUCCUUCAGGGCUUUGGGAUCUGGCCACUUCCCCCAGCCUGAAAAGGAGAGUUUCCAGGAGCGCCUGGCUCUGAUCCCCAGUGGUACGCGGGCAGGCUUCUGGCCGGCUCCUCUGUCCUCUUCUGCAUCUUCUUACUUAGGAGCUGGGUGAAGGAGUUUUAGGCAUUGGUUAGUUUACGUAGAUUUAUGACUCUUAUGUCAUACCUUUUCACCUGUUAGCAUCUUAAAUCAGGAAGGUUUGUUGUUUUUUUUAAACCUCAACUUUGAAUUACCAGCAAAUUCAGUGUCUUUCCUCAGAGGUGAGUUCAGAUGACUGGGGUCUUCUGUGCUAACAUGAAACAUAUUCACAUGAUUUGAGUGCCUCACUUUGUUAGUUGUUGUGAGGGACACAAAGUACAAGUCAUGGUCUCUGUGCACAGGGAGCUAUUAGAGCAAGGGAGAGCACCUUGACCUCUAGUGACCAGGGAAGGUUUCUUGAUGUUGUCUUGAGUGAUGAAUAGGGAUUGAGUGCCCAAGACAGGGAAGGGAAUUCCUUUAACAGCUGAAUGAUUCUGGCUGUAUCCUGUGUGUCAGGGGUGACUGUGUGUGUGUUGGCCCUGGCCACCCUCCAGCCCGGAACCGUGGGCAACACCCUCCUGCUGACCCGGCUGGAAAAGGACAGUCCCCCAGUCAGUGUGCAGAUUCCCACUGGCCAGAACAAGGUAGGAUUCCUGGGCCAUGGAGCACAGUUGGGCUGGAUUGGGCUUCGGAUCAAGCUGCUCACAUUCUUUGUUGAGGGAGGGAGAGAUGGUGAUCACGUGGACAAGCAGAGCUCUCACAGCUCCAUCUCCCAAAGCUUCCUCUGCGUUCAGUCCUGAAUGAAUUCGAUGCCAUCCAGAAGGCACAGAAAGAGAACAGCAGCUGUACUGACAAGCGAGAAUGGUGGACGGGGCGGCUGGCACUGGACCACAGGAUGGAGGUUCUCAUCGCUUCCCUAGAGAAGUCUGUGCUGGGCUGCUGGAAGGGGCUGCUGCUGCCGUCCAGUGAGGAGCCCGGCCCUGCCCAGGAGGCCUCCCGCCUACAGGAGCUGCUACAGGAAUGUGGCUGGAAAUAUCCUGACCCCACUCUGCUGAAAAUCAUGCUCAGUGGUGCCGGUGCCCUCACCCCUCAGGACAUUCAGGCCCUGGCCUACGGGCUGUGCCCAACCCAGCCAAAGCGAGCCCAGGAGCUCCUGAAUGAGGCAGUAGGACGGCUACAGGGCCUGACAGUACCAGGCAAUAGCCACCUUGUCUUGGUCCUAGACAAGGACUUGCAGAAGCUGCCGUGGGAAAGCAUGCCCAGCCUCCAGGCACUGCCUGUCACCCGGCUGCCCUCCUUCCGCUUCCUACUCAGCUACUCCAUCAUCAAAGAGUAUGGGGCCUCGCCAGUGCUGAGUCAAGGGGUGAAUCCGCGAAGUACCUUCUAUGUCCUGAACCCUCACAAUAACCUGUCAAGCACAGAGGAGCAAUUUCGAGCCAAUUUCAGCAGUGAAGCUGGCUGGAGAGGAGUGGUUGGGGAGGUGCCAAGACCUGAACAGGUGCAAGAAGCCCUGACAAAGCAUGAUUUGUAUAUCUAUGCAGGGCAUGGGGCUGGUGCCCGCUUCCUUGACGGGCAGGCUGUCCUGCGGCUGAGCUGUCGGGCAGUGGCCCUGCUGUUUGGCUGUAGCAGUGCGGCCCUGGCUGUGCAUGGAAACCUGGAGGGGGCUGGCAUUGUGCUCAAGUACAUCAUGGCUGGUUGCCCCUUGUUUCUGGGUAAUCUCUGGGAUGUGACUGACCGUGACAUUGACCGCUACACGGAAGCUCUGCUGCAGGGCUGGCUUGGAGCGGGCCCAGGGGCCCCCCUUCUCUACUAUGUAAACCAGGCCCGCCAAGCUCCCCGACUCAAGUAUCUUAUUGGGGCUGCACCUAUAGCCUAUGGCUUGCCUGUCUCUCUGCGGUAACCCCAUGGAGCUGUCUUAUUGAUGCUAGAAGCCUCAUAACUGUUCUACCUCCAAGGUUAGAUUUAAUCCUUAGGAUAACUCUUUUAAAGUAAUUUUCCCCAGUGUUUUAUAUGAAACAUUUCCUUUUGAUUCAACCUCAAUAUAAUAAAGAUACAUCAUUU